UCGUCCCCCACCACCAAGAACUCUCUGCUGAGGAAACAUACAAAGGAAGACACUUUCUCUCAGUCGAAAGCGUUCAUGAAAAUAGAAACCCCCAAAAAGCUCAAGAAAUUCCCGAGAGAGAAUCGAUCUCUAUAUUCACUCUCACUCUUCUUCUUCUUCUUCGCCUAAACGAAAAAAAAAUGGAGCCUGGGCUGAGCUCGACGACAAUGGUGGAGAGAGACGAAGGGUAUUUCCGUCAGAAAAGAAGGCGAGAAUCGAGAGGCCAAACAGUGCAAGGGAAACUGAUACUGUGUUUGAUACUAGAUCUGUUCUGUGUUUUAAUCCUCUGAUCUGUAAUCUCGUUAAUGGCGGUGAUAUUGGCGGGACGGCUCAAUCUCCUCUGUCUCAUUAUCAAAUACUCACACUUCUUCUUCCUCCUCCUCCUCAUCUCUCUGUGUUAAUUUUCAUUUUGGUGUAUAAUCUCUCGCACUAAUUACGUUCUUUUUUCCGGCUUUUAA